rnacentral:rRNA from 1 species
GACGAACGCUGGCGGCGUGCUUAACACAUGCAAGUCGAACGCUGAAGACCUGGCUUUUGCUGGGUUGGAUGAGUGGCGAACGGGUGAGUAACACGUGAGUAACCUGUCCUCUUCUUUGGGAUAACGCCCGGAAACGGGUGCUAACACUGGAUAUUCACUGGCCUUCGCAUGGGGGUUGGUGGAAAGGCUUGUUCGGUUGGGGCAUGGGCUCGCGGCCUAUCGGCUUGUUGGUGGGGUGAAUGCCUACGAAGGUUGUGACGGGUAGCCGGCCUGAGGGGGUGACCGGUCACAUUGGGGCUGGAAUACGGCCCAGACUGCUGCGGGAGGCAGCAAUGGGGAAUGAUGCAGAGAAGGCGAAAGCCUGAUGCAGCGACGCCGGGUGAGGGAUGGAGGCCUUCGAGUUGUAAACCUCUUUCGCUCAUGGUCAAGCCGCAACUGUGGGUUGUGGUGAGGGUAGUGAGUAAAGAAGCGCCGGCUAACUACGUG